UCCCUUGAAGUCAAGAUGAGCCAGGUCUGGGAGGAUUCCUGAUGAUAUCACUUUGUUACCCAAAUUUCCUUCCCCGUGGCCAGUGACUGGGUAACAAGUGAGCAUGGGACAGUGCGGACGAUUUGAACUCAAGACGAGAUCCACUAGAAGCAUGAAGGAACAAAUGGUGGUGUGCCAGGAGACAGUCUGAAGGUCAGAGGUUCACGGCUGUAUCCCCCAACUUUGCACACUCAUCAGACCAAUCAGGAUGGACACCACCCACAGAGAUGCAGAUGCUAAUAUCCUGGGCAGAUGUGAGGGUUUAGAGGAAGGGCCAGAGAGCCCCUAGAAAGUUAAUCCUACUUUGAAGACCUCUAAUUUCCCAGUCCUCAGCCAUAGCUGAUUGGAUCAGGAAUAGGUGUCUGAAUGAAUAAACCACUGACUCUCAGAAAUUUGAACUGAAAGAGACAGAGCAACUUGAGUUGAAGAGUCAUAUGGAGGCUCCAUGGAAGUAGUGGUUUUCAGCAAAGCAUAAGAUAAUCAAACAUCAGAUACCCUUGGAGGAGAGAAUGACAAAUGGAUAGAUGUACAGAGUGAAAUGAAGUCAUAAGAAAGAGAGAUGCAGAGAUGGCAUUAUGUGAAGACAUUAACCUUGGUUACCAAAUUAAAUAUCCAGGCCCUGGACAGC
rnacentral:lncRNA from 1 species